rnacentral:rRNA from 1 species
UAUUGCACAAUGGGGGGAACCCUGAUGCAGCGACGCCGCGUGGGUGAAGGAGUACUUCGGUACGUAAAGCCCUAUCAGCAGGAAAGAAAAUGACGGUACCUGACUAAGAAGCCCCGGCUAACUACGUGCCAGAAGACGCGGUAAUACGUAGGGGGCAAGCGUUAUCCGGAUUUACUGGGGGUAAAGGGAGCGUAGACGGCAGUGCAAGUCCGGAGUGAAAGCCCGGGGCUCAACCCUGGGACUGCUCUGGAAACUGUAAAGCUGGAGUGCGGGAGGGGCAGGCGGAAUUCCUGGUGUAGCGGUGAAAUGCGUAGAUAUCAGGAGGAACACCGGCGGCGAAGGCGGCCUGCUGGACCGUAACUGACGUUGAGGCUCGAAAGCGUGGGGAGCAAACAGG